rnacentral:rRNA from 1 species
UUAAGCGACUAAGCGUACACGGUGGAUGCCCUGGCAGUCAGAGGCGAUGAAGGGCGUGCUAAUCUGCGAUAAGCGCCGGUAAGGUGAUAUGAACCGUUAUAACCGGCGAUACCCGAAUGGGGAAACCCAGUGUGACUCGUCACACUAUCAUUAACUGAAUCCAUAGGUUAAUGAGGCGAACCGGGGGAACUGAAACAUCUAAGUACCCCGAGGAAAAGAAAUCAACCGAGAUUCCCCCAGUAGCGGCGAGCGAACGGGGAGGAGCCCAGAGCCUGAAUCAGCAUGUGUGUUAGUGGAAGCGUCUGGAAAGGCGCGCGAUACAGGGUGACAGCCCCGUACACAAAAGCGCAUGUGCUGUGAGCUCGAUGAGUAGGGCGGGACACGUGGUAUCCUGUCUGAAUAUGGGGGGACCAUCCUCCAAGGCUAAAUACUCCUGACUGACCGAUAGUGAACCAGUACCGUGAGGGAAAGGCGAAAAGAACCCCGGCGAGGGGAGUGAAAAAGAACCUGAAACCGUGUACGUACAAGCAGUGGGAGCCCCACCACCAAAGCGUUUCGCUUUGUGUGGUGCACAAAGAAGCGUAACGACAGCACUGAAUGACGGUUAACGGAGCGCAAGCGACGUUCAACAUACAAAGUCAAGCAGUGGAGCGCUUUGGGGUGGGGUGACUGCGUACCUUUUGUAUAAUGGGUCAGCGACUUAUAUUCUGUAGCAAGGUUAACCGAAUAGGGGAGCCGGAGGGAAACCGAGUCUUAAUUGGGCGUUAAGUUGCAGGGUAUAGACCCGAAACCCGGUGAUCUAGCCAUGGGCAGGUUGAAGGUUGGGUAACACUAACUGGAGGACCGAACCGACUAAUGUUGAAAAAUUAGCGGAUGACCUGUGGCUGGGGGUGAAAGGCCAAUCAAACCGGGAGAUAGCUGGUUCUCCCCGAAAGCUAUUUAGGUAGCGCCUCGUGAAUUCAUCUCCGGGGGUAGAGCACUGUUUCGGCUAGGGGGCCAUCCCGGCUUACCAACCCGAUGCAAACUGCGAAUACCGGAGAAUGUUAUCACGGGAGACACACGGCGGGUGCUAACGUCCGUCGUGAAGAGGGAAACAACCCAGACCGCCAGCUAAGGUCCCAAAGUCAUGGUUAAGUGGGAAACGAUGUGGGAAGGCCCAGACAGCCAGGAUGUUGGCUUAGAAGCAGCCAUCAUUUAAAGAAAGCGUAAUAGCUCACUGGUCGAGUCGGCCUGCGCGGAAGAUGUAACGGGGCUAAACCAUGCACCGAAGCUGCGGCAGCGACGCUUAUGCGUUGUUGGGUAGGGGAGCGUUCUGUAAGCCUGCGAAGGUGGCCUGUGAGGGUUGCUGGAGGUAUCAGAAGUGCGAAUGCUGACAUAAGUAACGAUAAAGCGGGUGAAAAGCCCGCUCGCCGGAAGACCAAGGGUUCCUGUCCAACGUUAAUCGGGGCAGGGUGAGUCGACCCCUAAGGCGAGGCCGAAAGGCGUAGUCGAUGGGAAACGGGUUAAUAUUCCCGUACUUGGUGUUACUGCGAAGGGGGGACGGAGAAGGCUAUGUUGGCCGGGCGACGGUUGUCCCGGUUUAAGCGUGUAGGUGUGUGUUCCAGGUAAAUCCGGUUCACUUUAACACUGAGGCGUGAUGACGAGGCACUACGGUGCUGAAGCAACAAAUGCCCUGCUUCCAGGAAAAGCCUCUAAGCAUCAGGUAACAUCAAAUCGUACCCCAAACCGACACAGGUGGUCAGGUAGAGAAUACCAAGGCGCUUGAGAGAACUCGGGUGAAGGAACUAGGCAAAAUGGUGCCGUAACUUCGGGAGAAGGCACGCUGACACGUAGGUGAAGUGAUUUACUCAUGGAGCUGAAGUCAGUCGAAGAUACCAGCUGGCUGCAACUGUUUAUUAAAAACACAGCACUGUGCAAACACGAAAGUGGACGUAUACGGUGUGACGCCUGCCCGGUGCCGGAAGGUUAAUUGAUGGGGUCAGCGCAAGCGAAGCUCCUGAUCGAAGCCCCGGUAAACGGCGGCCGUAACUAUAACGGUCCUAAGGUAGCGAAAUUCCUUGUCGGGUAAGUUCCGACCUGCACGAAUGGCGUAAUGAUGGCCAGGCUGUCUCCACCCGAGACUCAGUGAAAUUGAACUCGCUGUGAAGAUGCAGUGUACCCGCGGCAAGACGGAAAGACCCCGUGAACCUUUACUAUAGCUUGACACUGAACAUUGAGCCUUGAUGUGUAGGAUAGGUGGGAGGCUUUGAAGUGUGGACGCCAGUCUGCAUGGAGCCGACCUUGAAAUACCACCCUUUAAUGUUUGAUGUUCUAACGUGGACCCGUGAUCCGGGUUGCGGACAGUGUCUGGUGGGUAGUUUGACUGGGGCGGUCUCCUCCUAAAGAGUAACGGAGGAGCACGAAGGUUGGCUAAUCCUGGUCGGACAUCAGGAGGUUAGUGCAAUGGCAUAAGCCAGCUUGACUGCGAGCGUGACGGCGCGAGCAGGUGCGAAAGCAGGUCAUAGUGAUCCGGUGGUUCUGAAUGGAAGGGCCAUCGCUCAACGGAUAAAAGGUACUCCGGGGAUAACAGGCUGAUACCGCCCAAGAGUUCAUAUCGACGGCGGUGUUUGGCACCUCGAUGUCGGCUCAUCACAUCCUGGGGCUGAAGUAGGUCCCAAGGGUAUGGCUGUUCGCCAUUUAAAGUGGUACGCGAGCUGGGUUUAGAACGUCGUGAGACAGUUCGGUCCCUAUCUGCCGUGGGCGCUGGAGAACUGAGGGGGGCUGCUCCUAGUACGAGAGGACCGGAGUGGACGCAUCACUGGUGUUCGGGUUGUCAUGCCAAUGGCACUGCCCGGUAGCUAAAUGCGGAAGAGAUAAGUGCUGAAAGCAUCUAAGCACGAAACUUGCCCCGAGAUGAGUUCUCCCUGAGACUU